ensembl:misc_RNA Metazoa_SRP Metazoan signal recognition particle RNA
ACCAGGAGCAGUGGUGCAUGCCUGUAGUCCCAGCUACUUGGGAGGCUGAGGCUGGAGGAUCGCUUGAGUCCAGGAGUUCUGGGCUGUCGUGUGCUAUGCUGAUCGGGUGUCCGCACUAAGUUCAGCAUCAAUAUGGUGACCUCCCAGGAGCGGAGGACCACCAGGUUGCCUAAGAAGGGGUGAACUGGCCCAGGUCAGAAACAGAGCAGGUCAGAACUCCUGUGCUGAUCAGUAUAUGAUCUGUGUCAUUGAAUCCUCCAUGUGUGCUUGGAAAAAAAAAAAAAAAAAACAUGUAUUAU